GCGGAUGUAGCCAAGGGGAUC
rnacentral:tRNA from 1 species